AUUGAACGCUGGCGGCAUGCCUUACACAUGCAAGUCGAACGGCAGCACGGGAGCAAUCCUGGUGGCGAGUGGCGAACGGGUGAGUAAUAUAUCGGAACGUGCCCAGUCGUGGGGGAUGACGUAGCGAAAGCUACGCUAAUACCGCAUACGAUCUAUGGAUGAAAGCGGGGGAUCGCAAGACCUCGCGCGAUUGGAGCGGCCGAUAUCAGAUUAGGUAGUUGGUGAGGUAAAGGCUCACCAAGCCGACGAUCUGUAGCUGGUCUGAGAGGACGACCAGCCACACUGGGACUGAGACACGGCCCAGACUCCUACGGGAGGCAGCAGUGGGGAAUUUUGGACAAUGGGCACAAGCCUGAUCCAGCAAUGCCGCGUGCAGGAUGAAGGCCUUCGGGUUGUAAACUGCUUUUGUACGGAACGAAACGGCGAGCUCUAAUACAGUUUGCUAAUGACGGUACCGUAAGAAUAAGCACCGGCUAACUACGUGCCAGCAGCCGCAGUAA
rnacentral:rRNA from 1 species